rnacentral:misc_RNA from 1 species
CUUGAAGAAAAUGAAAGCAGCAAAAGCAUCUUCGAAUUCAUCAUCAUCAUCAUCGACCAGCAGUGUCCUUGCCUUUCUCUUCACUGUCCUCUUCUUUCUCGUGCUGUGUUUUCAAGGUAUGUCCUCUGGAAGUUCCGCUGUGAUUUCUCACGAUUCCCCUCAACCAAGUGGAUCAAGAUCGAAUAGCUUUAUUAUUCAACAAUACAACUCUGAUCUGUCUGCCAGAACUGCUACUAAAAGUGCUGGCUCACACAAUUUAGUAGGGCAGAUUUCUGGAUCAGAUCCUAAGGGCAGCCCGAAAAGUGUAGCGAGUUGAAGUGUAGUGUGAUUGCCGAUUGGGGGUGAAUUUUAGAUUAUACAAAUAUGAAUAGGAACUGCCAACAUGUCUAUGAUUUUGUGCAAGCUCUCUGAAGAUCUGCAACAUUUGUAUACCUUGUACAGUGAUAUAUGUUGUUUGGUGAGAGAAUUAAUUGUUUCUGCAGCAUGCUAAUUGAUAUAUUGAGUGAUAGUUUUCUUUAGGAACUACAUUUGUGACAAAAUAAUGACUGUCUUUUACAAUAUAGGUAGGAUAUAUAUAGUUCACUGAAGAGAGAUAGUUUUGCGGGACUUCUUAAUUCCCUCGAAUGGCGAAUAGAGUAGAAGGUAAAAAGAUCCUUUUAAGCGCUACUAAAGUCUUUUACAUUAUGCAGAGUACUGGGCCUAAUCAGCGUCUUUUCUUCUUAUCAGUUGGAAUUUUGUACUUUAAAAAGUGUAAUGUUG